ACGAUGUUCCGCUGCAAGCAUCUUGUAUGAGCAUCUG
rfam:Aeribacillus pallidus strain 8m3 NODE_3, whole genome shotgun sequence.